rnacentral:lncRNA from 1 species
CAAAACAAUCAGAUCUAGGAGGCGGGAUGGUGUCUGCGUUUUGGCAUCCCAAGAGAUUGAUCUCAGUGGUUGCUCCAGGCAGCUCCACUCAGAAAUGUGCUCCGUGGGGGAGGCCAUCUAGGGCGUGUCAUGGAAAGAGAUGGGUUAGCUGGGUGUGGAGCACAGGGCAGAGCCAAGGUCAGGAUGGGCUAGACCUCCAGGUUCCUCAGCUGCAAAAGCAGCCCCAGGGAGAUGUGGUUCUGGACCACCCAAGGGGCUGCAGAAAGAAAGGUAUCGACACACAUACUUGUUCAAACCUGUACUCUUUUCUAGGACUUCACAGGUCCACUGGGCCACAGCAGCCGGUCCAUGGACUCCAGAUCUAGAACCCAUGCUGGGUAGAAACCCCUUCAACUGCUCAGGGAGUGGGAAGCCAGUGAUGUGGCUUCCUAGUAGCUGUCCCCAGCCUCUAGACUGUACCGUCUGGAUCUGCAGAGGCCUGUUCACUGUCAUGCCUUCAUGCAGAUCUCUGGGAGCAGCGUGUGCACCAUGGAUGUUUAAGGAAGCUUAUUGCCAGCAAUGUCCAGAUGACUGGUGAGCCACAGCAAGAGAGGGGCCUGGCUGCGGGAGGGAUCCAGAAAGCAGGGAGCUGAUGGAGGUUUAGGAUUAGGACCUGAGGAAGGGAUGCUAGGGCAAGGAUGCGGGAGGUAGCAGUGGCCUGAACCCUCCUACACUCUGGCCACAGACUUGAUGUGGCAGGAGUAGUUGGGUGGGCAUUUUUCCGCCUGGCAGCAGAGGUCGCUUUCUGUCCUCUCCCCACACCAUACAUCACACUUUCCAACUCCACCAUACUCAACCCCCUAAGAAGAAGAAAGAGGAAAUGAGCUCCACAACACAGGUCUGUUACGGACUGAAUAUGUGUGUCCCCUCAAAAUGCAUAUAUUGAAGCCCUAACACUCCAGUGGGAUGGUAUUUAGAUGUGGGGACUUUGGGAAGUGAUUAGGGUUAGAUGAGGUCACAGGGUAAGGCCCCUAUGAUGGAAUGAAUGGCCUUAUAAGAAGAGGAAGGAAAAGACUAGAGAGCAUGCAUGCGCUGUCAGUCUCUCUCCCUCCCUCCUUGCCACGGGAGGACACAGCAAGAAGGUGGCCAUCUGCAAGCCAGGAAGAGAGGCCUCACCAGGACCCACAUCAGCUGGCACCUUGAUCUUGGACUUCCAGCUUCUAGAACUGUAAGAAAUAAACGUCUAUGGCAUUCUGUUAUGGAAGCCCAAGCUGACUGAGACUGCAGCCCUGCCUUUCCUUUUAGGGUACCCAAAAUGGAGUCCUGUGGCCAACACAAGCCGUGUGCCUCAUCUCUUGCCAUGUUCCAGUAGGGGGAUAUAGCUGUGGCCAAGACAAGUGGGGAGGUAUCUGGGGUGCUCACAGGCAGGGCCUGGAGAGGAGCCCUCUUCUGGGCAACUUACACAGGACUCUGAGAUACUCCUCAGCAUCUCCCCUCCUUGGUGCUAGGCAUGGUGUCUUGCACACAGUGGGAGCUUUAUAUGUGUUUGGUGAGACAUUGAUUAAAAAUAAUAGACAGCGAAUACACGCAGAUGUGGAGAGAGACGGAACCAGCAGUUGCUAGAUUGGAGGAAAGAGUGUAUUCCCGCCUCAGCCCCGCCCUGUCCACAGCUAUGAAUUAAUCUGCGGUGGGGAGCGGGAUUCCUUCAUUAAAAUCUCCAAAAAGGGAGUCAUAUUAACAGCCAGGCACACCGUUCUUUUCCCUCAAGGUAAGAAGAUUCAUGGCUCAAACUUACAUUUUAUCACGCACAACCGAAUAAAAAUGAUCAAUUUCCCUGCCCGCCUUACAGCAUCCUUCCACAGUUAUUAAAGUCUCUAAAAAUGUUUUCCUUAAAAAAAAAAGGUUAAAAGAAAGAGAGGUGCAGAGAGUGCAAACCAAGAAGAAGCUGGGAAAUGCUGCCUAGCUGAGGGCUAUCCAUCUUGUCAGCUGCAGACCACAUAACCUUGAUGUCACUAUAUUUUCUGCUCAUAUCCAAAUUUACAAUUUGCCAGCCAAGGAUAUGGAAAUGCCAAACCUCCCCCUUGGAGGUGGAUGCUGGAAGGUUCUUAAAGAGCCUGAGAGAGAGGAGCAUCCUAGCUCUGAAAACUCCAAAAAGACACUGAGCCUGCUGCUGGACUCUUAGCAAUUUUCCCUGAGUUGGGAAAAACCAGCCUCCAAGGUCAAGGAGAUGGAUUUCAACUCCAGGGCCACACACACAUUCAGCAAGAGCCCCUUUGUUCAUUGAAGAACAAGCAGGUUUCCACUUUGGAGGGCCAGAAAUGUACCUGUGCAAGUUAGGAAAUGGGAGGGUUGGGCCACGCAACAAACAAACUCUGGUGUAAACCAGAGUGAAAGAGAAGUGUUUAACCUACAGGAAAGAGCAAACUGCAUGCCAGCCCUGCAGAGCUCCGCCUUGCAUGCAAACACACAAAUGGGUAAUUAUACAUCAUUCAUCUAGUGGGUCCCCAAGAACC